rnacentral:tRNA from 1 species
UUGGAUCACCUCCUAACAGGGAGACAAACAACGAUUUUGAUGUCUGAGCUAUUUAUUCUUAGGCCAAAAUCCUGUCACUUUAGGUCGAUCGGUACCUCAACUUUUGAGCUAGAGAGUUCCAGCAAUGGUUGUCUGCUUAGUGGAGAUUUUUAGUUCCUAAACUUUGUCUAGUUCACAACCCAUUAGGGAUGAGACUCCUGGGCCAUUAGCUCAGGUGGUUAGAGCGCACCCCUGAUAAGGGUGAGGUCCCUGGUUCAAGUCCAGGAUGGCCCAUUCGGUGUAGGGGGUUUAGCUCAGUUGGUAGAGCGCCUGCUUUGCAAGCAGGAUGUCAGGAGUUCGAGUCUCCUAACCUCCACUGACUACCAAAAUCCCCAUCUCCAAAACCUGGAGUAUGAACUCGUAUGGAUUGCGAUUUAGAUUUGUCCGCUAGAUGACCCUAGCUUCUUGUCAUUUUAAGGCAUGGAAAUAAUUCCAUGAUUUGAUUGAUAGGAUGCUGGGCUCGAUGCAAUGUAUUGAGAGAUUAAUGCAUUGUUUUGAUGUCUAGCCGAACCUUGACAACUGCAUAGUUUAAGUCUGGAAAGAAUAAAGCAUCUUUAUGGAUGCAUCAUUUUUUCGCGUUUAGGCAUGAAGGAGUGAUGUUAAUUCUAAAGCAAGAGCCGAGACUCCAGUAUGUUCUUUCAAAUGUGUCGAGCAUUUGAGAGUUUGAUUUUAAUUUCUACUUGUAGAAGUUAGAAGAAUCUGUUUCAACGACAGCAAGCGUGUUGGAGAUACAUUGGUCAAGCUACAAAGGGCUCACGGCGGAUACCUUGGCACACAGAGGCGAUGAAGGA